CAGGGAAUGUGGGUUUCCGGGUAAGGAGGCAUGUCUGCCCACUGAACUCUGGAUUGGCACCAGGGAUGAAGCCUGAAGGCAGAUCUGAGGUGGGUGGCAGGGGCUAACACCCCUAGAUGCCCCAAUGACCACCAUAUACUGUGGGCCCACCGUGCACUGGCAGCGUUUCUGAACACCACAGUCAGAAGGCUUCUAAAGGUCUCACUUAAACUGUUGUUCUUGCAGAUGGGACAUGGGAGAUCCAGAGAGGAGAAGAGGCAUGCCCCUGACCCCACAGCAAGUCGGGGAGAAGGAGCCUGUCAGCCAUGGGGCAGGGUUUCUACACACCAGGAGGGAGACAGGCCUCUGCCUGGCAGCUGCAUCUCUUCCUGGGGGCUCUGUGUGGAGGCCAGACUGGGCUAAUCUGAUUUGCAGCCCCCAGGAGCAGAGCCCUGGCUGCUGCCCUGGAAGUGAAGGCUGGGAGAGGUUAUAUGCUCAGGAGUGGCCAUCAUACCCACAAAGAGAUGAGCCACCACCAUGGAAACGCUUCAUCCACCUGUCUGUCCGUCCAUCCAUCUGUCCACUCACCCAACCAUUCAAUAGGAUCCCUCGACACUUUCUCCACACCUGGCUCUGCUUGACUCUGGGAUAAUGAAGGAGGUGACUCAGACACAGCCCCUGGCCCCAGGCAGCUCAUAGUCUUGUGGGGAGGAUUCUUCGGGCUCUCAGGUGUCCUUCAAACAGGUAGAGCAUGGUCGGGGUUGGAAGUUGGGUCAAGCCCAAGUGUGUCUGGGGCCUGGGUGAGGGGUAAUCCACUGUGUGCCAGGGUUGGGAGAAGGGGGCUUCAUGCAAGUCUUCCAGGGAAAGAUGGUGACCAUUGACCAGUAGCUCAGAAGUUUGGGCAGGGAAGGCAGGGAAGGGGUGCCGCCCAGGGGUGUCUGGAGAGGUUGUACACUUCGGUGGGGGUGUGGGUAGAGAACGGUGGGACAUGAUGCUGAGGAGGUAAGCAGGGGCCUCUAAGGCCAAGCUCAGGGUCAGGCUUGGGAGGCAAUAGGGAGCCACAGAAGGUCUGUGAGUAAAAGGGAUGUGGUUUGAAUUGCGUUAUAGAAGGGGACUCGACUCCAGUCCGGCUCAGACACCAGGAGUCAACCCUGAGCCUCCAUACCUGUCUGUCCCUCUGGGCCUUGUGUCCUUGUGGCCAGGCCUUUGCUUUCCCUCCUGCCUUCGUUGGGUGGCCCCAGCAACAGUGAAGCUUAGUCCAGGGAGGGUUCUUGGAGGAGGGCAGGGCCAGGCUCCUCAGAGGUAGGUAGGCCCUGGUGGGAAGGGAUGAGGGAGGCAGGGGGCGCGGGACAGAGACUGGGCGGAGGCCCGCACCAGCUGGAAGGCCUGGCCUCUCUCUGCAGCCCUGGUUUCCUUGUAUGCACAUGGUCUGCAGGGACUAGCCCUGGGCUUCUCAACCCCAGAGUGACUGGGGCUCUGGGGGGUAUUUGGCAAUGCCUGGAGACAUUUUUGGUCGUCAUACCUGGGGGGAAGUCAGAACUAGUACAUCGAGUCAGCAGAAGCCAGGGAUGCUGCUAAAUGUCCUACAACGGAGAAGACAGGCCCCAGGCAAUUUCCCAGCUUGCCACAUCAGGUGACCCAAGUGGGAAAAU
rnacentral:lncRNA from 12 species